ACGACCAUAUCACGUUGAAACACUGGUUUAUGUGUGGUCACCGAAGUUAAACAACGUCGAGCCUGGGUCAGUACCUUGAUGAGUGACCACUUGGGAAUACCAGAUAUUGUAAG